rnacentral:rRNA from 1 species
GGCUGGCGGGUGCUAUACUGCAAGUCGAACGCUUCUUUUUCCACCGGAGCUUGCUCCACCGGAAAAAGAGGAGUGGCGAACGGGUGAGUAACACGUGGGUAACCUGCCCAUCAGAAGGGGAUAACACUUGGAAACAGGUGCUAAUACCGUAUAACAAUCGAAACCGCAUGGUUUUGAUUUGAAAGGCGCUUUCGGGUGUCGCUGAUGGAUGGACCCGCGGUGCAUUAGCUAGUUGGUGAGGUAACGGCUCACCAAGGCCACGAUGCAUAGCCGACCUGAGAGGGUGAUCGGCCACAUUGGGACUGAGACACGGCCCAAACUCCUACGGGAGGCAGCAGUAGGGAAUCUUCGGCAAUGGACGAAAGUCUGACCGAGCAACGCCGCGUGAGUGAAGAAGGUUUUCGGAUCGUAAAACUCUGUUGUUAGAGAAGAACAAGGAUGAGAGUAACUGUUCAUCCCUUGACGGUAUCUAACCAGAAAGCCACGGCUAACUACGUGCCAGCAGCCGCGGUAAUACGUAGGUGGCAAGCGUUGUCCGGAUUUAUUGGGCGUAAAGCGAGCGCAGGCGGUUUCUUAAGUCUGAUGUGAAAGCCCCCGGCU